CGCCACUAACCGGAAGUAGAGGAAGAAGAAGAGCCGCUGCGUAAACAAGCCGGAGCGGAGCUUUAGCGUCAGUUUGAGGAUUAAAUGUGGAUUUAAAGGUUUAAAGAGAAGAUGGAGACUUUCAGCAGACGGACUCUGGACAGAAUCUAUUCCGCGGUGCUGCUAGGCGUGGUGCUCCUCUCCUGGUCAUACGUGAUCUACGGCAGCAGGAUCGCAGCUCGUUGGCUGCUGGAGGAAAGAACGUCCGUGCUGAGGCAGGACUGACGGCUCUCCGUUGGGUUUUAAUGGAACUCUGAGCUCUUUGUGGUCGUCCUCUGAUGUAUUCGGUAACUAAAAGCUCUGCUGCUGCCGCUUUGUUCCAGGAGUCCUCAGAAAUGGAAAUGAAGUCGCUCCUCAUCCAGCCGUUGCCACGGCGGCCGUCUCAGCUGUAAACAGGUCAACAAACGUCGUCCAUCUGCUCAGCAUGAAUAUUUAUACAGCAAACCCAUGAAUAAUGAAGAAUCCAGCAGAUAAUCAGAGAUGUUUCACCAGCAGAGUGAAUAAAACAAGUAAAGUAUCACAAUAUUUAAAUAACGAUCAUUUAAUUUAAGCCUCUGGUUUUAAAGCAGCAGUUUGUGACUUUUUAUCUGCUCCUGGUUCGUUUUUAAUCUGAAGUCCUGCAGCUCUGUAGAACCAGAACAUCAUGAAGGAGAGAGAACUCAGAGAAAGAUUCUUAGUUUGUCUGAUGAAACUAAAUCUGUUCCAAAAUGUGUUUAAUGUGUGAAAAAUGGGCCCAGACUGACUCACAAUGGGUUUAAAAUUACAAAAACGCAUCUAUAUGUACAAAAAUGGUCUACAACUCAACUCAACAUCUGUUUAAUGUGAAAAAAAAUCUCAUAGUUUCUUCUGACAUGAAAAAAAGUUGUGCAAAAUUUGUGUAUUGUGACGAAAACGAGUCUAAAUUGACUGAAAAUGUGUUUGUGAGAAAAAAGAGGUCAAAAUGCCUCCAAAUGUGUGUGAAACAAGACAAAAAAAAGUUUUUGUGACAAAAAAUGUAUCCAAAGAGACAAAAAUCUGCCUGAAGAUACUUGGAAGGUGUUUAAUCUCUGAAAAAUGUCCCAAAGUGACUCUAAAUGUGUGUGAAAUGACAAAAAUUUCUCUGUGACAGAAACUGAUCCGAAAUGACUGAAAAUGUGUUUGUGAGAAAGAAAUGGUCCAAAAUGACUACAUUUUCUUCUGACAUGACAAAGGAUUGUCCAAAUUUACAAAAAUUAGUCCAACAUGACAAAAGAUUUGUCCAAAAAUUGUCUAUUGUCACAUAAAUCUGUUCCAAAAUGACUCCAAAUGUGUGAACAAAAAGUCGUCCAAAAGUUACCCAAAUUUGUCCAAAGUGACAAAAAUCUGGUUUCAAAUUGGCUAAAAAUCAGUUUAUCGUGAGAAAAAUGUGCCCAGAAUGACACUAAUUUUCUUUCUGACACAAAAUGAUCAAAAAUGUGUGUAUUGUGACGAAAACUGAACCACAAUGACUGAAAAUGUGUUUAAUGUCAGAAUAAUGUUCCCAAAAUGAAUAAAUAUUUGUCCAACGUGAUAAAAACCUGUUCAGAAGGACUUGAAUUUGUUUGAUUAUUUAUCAGACAAAUCAAUAUGUCCAGUAGACGAAUAAAUUAAAAAUGUGAAGAUUUUUCAUCAGGUUUUUAAAGGAAACGUUCCUUUAACUGGAUCCUUUACUGAAACUAAACAUCACAUCCCAGCCGUCAGAAACUCUGCAGUGAGUUUAUACUUGAAUAAAGAUAAAAUGAGGCUCAAUAAACACAGAUUUUAUUUAUUGGUCGUCAACAGACUGGAGAUAAAAACGUCACAAAACUUCACAUGAAAGACAAAAACCUGAAAACACCAAACGGCAACUUUGUGAUUUAUUAUAAUCAACGUUAGAAACUCUUGACUUCACACCGAUCAUGUUCAUCUACUUUGUUUGGUUUCAUGUUUUAGAUUAUUUCAGUCAUUUAACAGAUUUGUCUUCAUGUUUAUGUGGUUUCGACUCAUUUACAUUUUUUAGACACUUUUUGGAGUUAUUACUGUGAGAUUUUUUUCCUCCUUUUUGCCUUUUUUUUAUUUGUUGUGAUUUAUUUUCUCUUUUUUUUUAGCCUUUAUUGUAUUCUAGUAUGUCUGAAAUAAAUCAAAAAGUUAAAAAAUAUCGAUUUUGGACAAAUUUUCUACAUUUUUAACUAUUUAUAUGUGAGUUAUUUUGUGUCAUUUCGUCGAAUAUUUAAUGUAUAUUUUUGUGAUUUUGUUUUUUUUUACAUGUUGACAAUUUGCAGUAAUUUUUGGACAAGUUGUUUUUUAAGAUUAAUUUUGGACAGUUUUCUACUUGACAUUUUGAAAGAUGUUUUCUUUGUUUUGAGUCGUUUCGUUUGACUCCAGCAGGAUCAUUUCUGACGUUAAACCGGAAACGUUUCGGUUAAACUGAGUUUCUCUGAGAAUCUGCCGGAAACGUUCUUUCUUCUGUUUCUCUGGAGGUCAUGUGACGACGUUCUGGAUCAGGAUUGGUCCAGCAGCAGGUCGUCGCCAAGGAAACCAGGCACCGACGGCUGGAGCUCCGCCUCCUUCUCCGCCUCCGUUUCCAUGGCGACGGGUCUGGUCGUCUCCCUGGAGGCCAGAGACGUCUUCGUCCCCUCCAGCCAGUAGGUCACCAUGUCGCCUUUACCCUGCAGGAGACCAGGAGUUACUGGGAGUUACUGUGAGUUACUGGGAGUUACUGGGAAUUACUGGGAGCACUGGGAGGACUGGAAGGACUAGAAGGACUGGGAGUUACUGGGAGUUACUGGGAGGCUCCGACUGGUUGGACUGGGAGUCUGACCUUGACCUGCAGCGUUCCUCUACACUCCAGCACGUAUCCUCCGAUCUCCUCCAGCAGGUAGAAGGUGCUGCAGCUGCACUGGAUCUUCAGAGCUGCAAACAGAACCAGUAGAACCAGUGAAACCAGUAGAACCAGUGAAACCAGAAAACUAUGAGGAACUCCAAACACGAUUUAGUAUUCUAGACAAAUUUACAGUCGUCUUGGUCAAAGUUCAGUCAUAGUGGACAAACUGAGAGUCAUUUAGGAGAAGUUUCUCGACAUUUCAGACAUGUUUUGGUUUUUUGUUCUAUUCUUGAUAUAUUUUGAACCAAGUUUCAAAGAUUUUGAGCAAACUUUAAAUCAUUUUGGACAAAUUCUGAGUUAAUUAAGACAUUUUCGGUUAUUUUGGAUCAGUUUCGAGUCCCUUUAGACUCCUCCUCGGUUCAUUUCCUGUCAACAUGUCUGCUGGUUCUGGGUCUGGGUCUGGUUCUGGUACCGACGCUGUUGGACUCCAUCCUAGACGCCGUGUUCACCGUGUCUCCAAACAGACAGUACCGAGGCAUCUUGGUUCCUACCACUCCAGCCACAACUGGACCUGCAGACACAGCAGAACCCUCAGAACCUGCUUCCUCACAUCAAGCAGAAUGUCGGGUUCUGGUGGAACCUUGGGUUACCAGAGUGGAUCCCGGCCCGGAUCUGCAGCUGAGUGUUGGGUUUGUGGGGGAUCCGGAAGGUUCUGCAGACGCCCACCAGGUCCAGAGCCAUGCUGGCGAUCUGGGAGGCAUGAAGGAUCCCGUUGACCCGCGGAACCCCGGAGACCACCAUGUCUACACAACACAACACAACAACAACACAACAGCGUCUCCGAUGGUUUCCACCUUGUAGACGUCGUAGUUGUCGAUGAUGUCGUCGAACGUGGUGUAGAGCUUGUUGAGGAAGUCGACCACCUGCAGCCGGUCAGUUUUCUGCUUUUCAUGCGUCAGAUCCUGAGUCCGUUCGGCCACCAGCACCUCCAGAUGUUUACUGUACUUCUCCAUCUGAAACCGAGACAGUCCAUACUAUUCAUCAUCAUGUCCACCGGGCUGACUUUGAUCGGGUUGAUCCGGUGAACAAACUUCCUGAUUUGUUCAAAUGUGGGCCGGUGGGCGGGGUUAUGAGAGCGACAUCGCCGGAUCAGCUACGGAAACACAAACAGGACAAAACACAGCAGCAACGACCCAGCGGUCGUCUAAGACACAGUUCAGAGACUUGAGUCGGCCGUGACAGAGCCGGUGCUGGUGGAGGUACGACAUCCCUCUGGCGAUGUCGGUGGCGAAGGAAAACCUGUGAAAAACACCAUCAAUGCGGUCAGUAUGAAGGAGAGGCAAAGCAGGCUGAGCGGCAGGCCGAUGGCCAGUUUGGUGGCCGCCGUCAUCGGACAUUCACCGCAGUCGGCCGGACAGGUGGAACAAAGCUCCGCCUCCUCACAGACGCCAUCGCCGCAG